rnacentral:rRNA from 1 species
UACAGAGGCCUCGAGCGUUAAUCGGAAUCACUGGGCUUAAAGGGUGCGUAGGCGGCGCUGCAAGUGCCUUGUGAAAUCCCAUGGCUUAACCAUGGAACUGCUCGGUAGACUGCAGCGCUUGAGGUUGGUAGGGGCUGCCGGAACUCUAGGUGGAGCGGUGAAAUGCGUAGAUAUCUAGAGGAACGCCCAAGGCGAAGGCAGGCAGCUGGGCCAAUUCUGACGCUGAGGCACGAAAGCGUGGGGAGCAAACGGGG